rnacentral:piRNA from 1 species
UACAAUGCUCCUAGACAAGAAUGAUGGAUU